UCACAAUCUUAUUUUGUUGGUUUCUAGGAUUGAGAUAAUGAUUAAUAGGGAUAGUUGGGGGCAUUAAUAUUUAAUUGUCAGAGGUGAAAUUCUUGGAUUUAUGAAAGAUUAACUUCUGCGAAAGCAUUUGCCAAGGAUGUUUUCGUUAAUCAAGAACGAAAGUUAGGGGAUCGAAGACGAUCAGAUACCGUCGUAGUCUUAACCAUAAACUAUGCCGACUAGGGAUUGGUGGGCGAUUAUUAUGUGUCCCCAUCAGCACCUUGUGAGAAAUCAAAGUUUUUGGGUUCCGGGGGGAGUAUGGUCGCAAGGCUGAAACUUAAAGGAAUUGACGGAAGGGCACCACCAGGAGUGGAGCCUGCGGCUUAAUUUGACUCAACACG
rnacentral:rRNA from 1 species